UGUUUUUCUUUCUCUUCUUUUCAUUCUCUUUUUCCCUUUUUACCCCUCGUGUGUAAUAAAAAUCCCAUUUUUAGAGAGAGAGGGAGAGAGAGAAUGAGAGGUGGGUGUUUAACAAAAGUAGAUGGAAAAUGACAAGAAAGAGAGAGAGAGAGAGUAUAAAGGAUUUAAUGUGAAAAGAGAGAUAAAAUAUAUAUAAAUUUUGACAAAUUUUAUUUAGAUUUUAGAGUGAGAGAAAGUGGGGUGUGUGGGUGAGUGAGCAUUGAGGCAGUUUUAUUGGAAUUUUGUGAAACCAGAGCUAAAAAAAUCCAAUCUUUACACCAAAGUUCAUAACUUUGACCCUUUCUCUUGAGUAAGAGAGAGAGAGAGAGAGAGAGAGAGAGAGAAUGGUGAUGAAUGUGGUUUGAGCUUCAAGUUUUUCAACUUGGGUAGUAGAGAGUGAGCUAAGCUAAGCUAAUCUUCUUCUUCUUCUUCUUCUUCUUCUUCUUCUUCUUGUUUUGAUCUUUUGGCUUUGAGAGUCAUUUUUCCUUGGUGGGUUUUUGAAAAGAUGGGAGAUUUGAGUAGAAAGAUGAGAAGUUUAAUGGCGGUUAUAUGUAUAUGGGGUUUGGUUUCUUUCUCUUCUUCUUCCUUUGCUGCUCGGUUAAAUCCAUCAAGACAGAAGCUUGAGGUUCAGAAACACCUCAAUCGGUUGAACAAGCCUGCCGUGAAAAGCAUUGAGAGCCCAGAUGGAGACAUAAUAGACUGUGUUCAUAUCUCUCACCAGCCUGCUUUUGAUCAUCCUUUUCUCAAAGACCACAAGAUUCAGACUAGGCCAAGUUACCAUCCAGAAGGACUAUUCCAAGACAAUAAGGUCUCUGAAAAGGCUAAGGAAAAGACAAACCCAAUGACUCAGUUAUGGCAUGUGAAUGGUAAAUGUCCUGAAGAUACUAUUCCUGUGAGAAGAACUAGAAAAGAUGAUGUUUUGAGAGCAAGUUCAGUUAAAAGAUAUGGUAAGAAGAAGCAUAGAUCUAUUCCUAAGCCAAGGUCUGCAGAUCCUGAUCUUGUCAAUGAGAGUGGUCAUCAGCAUGCAAUAGCUUAUGUAGAAGGAGACAAGUACUUUGGAGCAAAAGCAACUAUUAAUGUAUGGGAACCUAAGAUUCAACAACCAAAUGAGUUUAGCUUGUCUCAGCUAUGGAUUCUUGGUGGAUCUUUUGGUGAAGAUCUUAACAGCAUUGAAGCUGGUUGGCAGGUCAGCCCAGAUCUAUAUGGUGAUAACAACACAAGACUUUUCACCUACUGGACUGUUCUUGAUUUUUUGCUCUUCUCUACUUACCCGAAACUACACCCAAAAAAAACACAAAGCUUCUACCUUUUAUUUUCGGCAGCAGUUAGAAAAAUAGUGUUCUAGGGUUUUCUAGGUUUAUUUUCUUCUCUUCUAAAUGUUCUACCCGAAAAUACAAACCAAGAAAACCUAAGCUCUUUCUACCCGAAAUAAUCAACCCCAAAUACCCACUCACGGCUAAAUCUCACCAAACCCGAAAGUCUCAAGAUCACAAAUACACACAAACACAAAAAUAAACAAUAUAGAGAUUAGGGUUAGAAAUACAAACAGAAAUGGUAAAGAUGGAGACACCAAAUUUGAUCUCGGAGUUCGCCCAAAACAACCAGCUACUUCUCCGUCAAGCCCUCAGCUUGAUUCCACUAAUCAUCAAACAAAGCCGAAAUACAAGGGUUAGGGUUCUAACAAGCUCUCUUAUUUUUCUCUUCAAAUGGCAGAAACGAAAUGCUACAACCCGAGACAAGAACAACCCAAAAAACUCACUCACUAAUGGCUUUACUCACUCAAAACCGAACCCCCAAAAAUCCCCUUUAACUUUCGGCCAAAACACAUCAAACCCGAAAACUCAAGAACAUGAACACAUACACAAAUACAAAUAUUGUCGUUUUUAUAAAUAUGUGCUUAUCGAAAUGUGUCGUUUUUAUAAAUAUUGUCGUUUUAGUUUUCCCGUGUUUAAAUUAAUAUAUAGUUUUGUUAAACAAGUGUCGUUUUUGAAAAUAAUGCUAGUUUAUUUUGUUUUCUUUGAAA